AUUGAACGCUGGCGGCAGGCCUAACACAUGCAAGUCGAGCGGAGCGGCGGACGGGUGAGUAAUGCCUAGGAAUCUGCCUGGUAGUGGGGGAUAACGUCCGGAAACGGGCGCUAAUACCGCAUACUAUCAGAUGAGCCUAGGUCGGAUUAGCUAGUUGGUGGGGUAAAGGCUUACCAAGGCGACGAUCUCUAGCUGGUCUGAGAGGAUGAUCAGCCACACUGGGACUGAGACACGGCCCAGACUCCUACGGGAGGCAGCAGUGGGGAAUAUUGCACAAUGGGCGCAAGCCUGAUGCAGCCAUGCCGCGUGUAUGAAGAAGGCCUUAGGGUUGUAAAGUACUUUCAGCGGGGAGGCGUUACCCGCAGAAGAAGCACCGGCUAACUCCGUGCCAGCAGCCGCGGUAAUAC
rnacentral:rRNA from 1 species